rnacentral:rRNA from 1 species
UGGGGAAUAUUGCACAAAUGGGCGCAAGCCUGAUGCAGCCAUGCCGCGUGUGUGAAGAAGGCCUCGGGUUGUAAAGCACUUUCAGCGAGGAGGAAGGUGGUGAGCUUAAUACGCUCAUCAAUUGACGUUACUCGCAGAAGAAGCACCGGCUAACUCCGUGCCGGCAGCCGCGGUAAUACGGAGGGUGCAAGCGUUAAUCGGAAUUACUGGGCGUAAAGCGCACGCAGGCGGUUUGUUAAGUCAGAUGUGAAAAUCCCCGGGCUCAACCUGGGAACUGCAUUUGAAAACUGGCAAGCUAGAGUCUCGUAGAGGGGGGUAGAAUUCCAGGUGUAGCGGUGAAAUGCGUAGAGAUCUGGAGGAAUACCGGUGGCGAAGGCGGCCCCCUGGACGAAGACUGACGCUCAGGUGCGAAAAGCGUGGGG